ACUCCUACGGGAGGCAGCAGUGAGGAAUAUUGGACAAUGGGCGAGGGCCUGAUCCAGCCAUGCCGCGUGCAGGAAGAAUGCCCUAUGGGUAGUAAACUGCUUUUAUACGGGAAGAAAAGGGCACGUGUGCCCUGUUGACGGUACCGUAAGAAUAAGGACCGGCUAACUCCGUGCCAGCAGCCGCGGUAAUACGGAGGGAGCGAGCGUUAAUCGGAAUUACUGGGCGUAAAGCGCACGUAGGCGGCUUUGUAAGUCGGAUGUGAAAGCCCGGCGUAACCUGGGAAUGGCAUUCGAUACUGCAGAGCUAGAGUAUGGUAGAGGGAAGUGGAAUUUCCGGUGUAGCGGUGAAAUGCGUAGAUAUCGGAAGGAACACCGGUGGCGAAGGCGACUUCCUGGGCCAAUACUGACGCUGAGGUGCGAAAGCGUGGGUAGCAAACAGGAUUAGAUA
rnacentral:rRNA from 1 species